GAGAGGAGCUUGCUCUUCUUGGAUGAGUUGCGAACGGGUGAGUAACGCGUAGGUAACCUGCCUUGUAGCGGGGGAUAACUAUUGGAAACGAUAGCUAAUACCGCAUAACAAUGGAUGACCCAUGUCAUUUAUUUGAAAGGGGCAAAUGCUCCACUACAAGAUGGACCUGCGUUGUAUUAGCUAGUAGGUGAGGUAACGGCUCACCUAGGCGACGAUACAUAGCCGACCUGAGAGGGUGAUCGGCCACACUGGGACUGAGACACGGCCCAGACUCCUACGGGAGGCAGCAGUAGGGAAUCUUCGGCAAUGGGGGCAACCCUGACCGAGCAACGCCGCGUGAGUGAAGAAGGUUUUCGGAUCGUAAAGCUCUGUUGUAAGUCAAGAACGAGUGUGAGAGUGGAAAGUUCACACUGUGACGGUAGCUUACCAGAAAGGGACGGCUAACUACGUGCCAGCAGCCGCGGUAAUACGUAGGUCCCGAGCGUUGUCCGGAUUUAUUGGGCGUAAAGCGAGCGCAGGCGGUUUGAUAAGUCUGAAGUUAAAGGCUGUGGCUCAACCAUAGUUCGCUUUGGAAACUGUCAAACUUGAGUGCAGAAGGGGAGAGUGGAAUUCCAUGUGUAGCGGUGAAAUGCGUAGAUAUAUGGAGGAACACCGGUGGCGAAAGCGGCUCUCUGGUCUGUAACUGACGCUGAGGCUCGAAAGCGUGGGGAGCGAACAGGAUUAGAUACCCUGGUAGUCCACGCCGUAAACGAUGAGUGCUAGGUGUUGGAUCCUUUCCGGGAUUCAGUGCCGCAGCUAACGCAUUAAGCACUCCGCCUGGGGAGUACGACCGCAAGGUUGAAACUCAAAGGAAUUGACGGGGGCCCGCACAAGCGGUGGAGCAUGUGGUUUAAUUCGAAGCAACGCGAAGAACCUUACCAGGUCUUGACAUCCCGAUGCUAUUUCUAGAGAUAGAAAGUUACUUCGGUACAUCGGUGACAGGUGGUGCAUGGUUGUCGUCAGCUCGUGUCGUGAGAUGUUGGGUUAAGUCCCGCAACGAGCGCAACCCCUAUUGUUAGUUGCCAUCAUUCAGUUGGGCACUCUAGCGAGACUGCCGGUAAUAAACCGGAGGAAGGUGGGGAUGACGUCAAAUCAUCAUGCCCCUUAUGACCUGGGCUACACACGUGCUACAAUGGUUGGUACAACGAGUUGCGAGUCGGUGACGGCAAGCUAAUCUCUUAAAGCCAAUCUCAGUUCGGAUUGUAGGCUGCAACUCGCCUACAUGAAGUCGGAAUCGCUAGUAAUCGCGGAUCAGCACGCCGCGGUGAAUACGUUCCCGGGCCUUGUACACACCGCCCGUCACACCACGAGAGUUUGUAACACCCGAAGUCGGUGAGGUAACCUUU
rnacentral:rRNA from 1 species